UCCUGCUACCACAAGGGCAUGUCUGGAAU
rnacentral:piRNA from 1 species